UCAGACGUCCGUGUGUCCAGCCAUCAAAAGUGACCUGAAAAGCAGCAUUGACAGUGACCAGGUGCUCAGGAAGUUUAUGCUUGUAAGACCCAAUGACUCCCCACCAAGAAUCCUACCAGUUUCCUUGGAACCUUUGCUCAUGACCAUUCAAGAUGAGCAUUACACACUGGCGAAAGAGAUCUGCAUCUGGGGCCUUCAACUGAGCAACCCAGAGAUUGCCAGACUUGCUUUGCUUCUGGAAUUGAAGGGGCACACCACCUGCCCGUUUACCACCCUAGAAAUCAUUGAUUGCAAGAUGGAUCUGUGGUCUCUAGAGCGACUUGGGAAGGCUCUGCGGUUCAGUAGUUUGCAUUCUCUUGUCCUCGAUUACUGCAAAUUUGGAAAUGAAGAACUUGAGAGCAUUUUCUCAGGCCUGGAGAACAACCAAAGGCUUCAAGGCCUCAGUCUGCGUUACUGUGGUCUGGGACCUCAGAGCGGGCUAAGG
rnacentral:lncRNA from 1 species